rnacentral:rRNA from 1 species
UACGAAGGGUGCAAGCGUUACUCGGAAUUACUGGGCGUAAAGCGUGCGUAGGUGGUGAGUUAAGUCUGUCGUGAAAGCCCCGGGCCUCAACCUGGGAAUGGCGAUGGAUACUGGCUCGCUAGAGUGCGGUAGAGGAGAGUGGAAUUCCCGGUGUAGCAGUGAAAUGCGUAGAGAUCGGGAGGAACAUCAGUGGCGAAGGCGGCCUUCUGGACCAGUACUGACGCUGAGGCACGAAAGCGUGGGGAGCAAACAGG